rnacentral:rRNA from 1 species
UGGGGAAUAUUGGGCAAUGGGCGCAAGCCUGACCCAGCAACGCCGCGUGAGGGAAGAAGGCCUUCGGGUUGUAAACCUCUGUCCUUGGGGACGAAAAAAAUGACGGUACCCAAGGAGGAAGCUCCGGCUAACUACGUGCCAGCAGCCGCGGUAAUACGUAGGGAGCGAGCGUUGUCCGGAAUUACUGGGCGUAAAGGGUGCGUAGGCGGCUUGGCAAGUCAGAUGUGAAAUCCCCGGGCUUAACUCGGGUGCUGCAUUUGAAACUGCUGGGCUUGAGUGCAGGAGAGGAAAGCGGAAUUCCUAGUGUAGCGGUGGAAUGCGUAGAUAUUAGGAGGAACACCAGUGGCGAAGGCGGCUUUCUGGACUGUAACUGACGCUGAGGCACGAAAGCGUGGGGAGCAAACAG